rnacentral:ncRNA from 1 species
ACUUUCAAGGCAGGGUGCGAUUCCCUACCGGCGGUAUAGUCCGCAAGCCCUAAGGCUGAACCGGUGAGAUUCCGGUACCGACGGUAUAGUCCGGAUGAGAGAAAGG